rnacentral:rRNA from 1 species
GACGAACGCUGGCGGCGUGCUUAACACAUGCAAGUCGAGCGGAAAGGCCCUGCUUUUGUGGGGUGCUCGAGUGGCGAACGGGUGCGUAACACGUGAGUAACCUGCCCUUGACUUUGGGAUAACUUCAGGAAACUGGGGCUAAUACCGGAUAGGAGCUCCUGCUGCAUGGUGGGGGUUGGAAAGUUUCGGCGGUUGGGGAUGGACUCGCGGCUUAUCAGCUUGUUGGUGGGGUAGUGGCUUACCAAGGCUUUGACGGGUAGCCGGCCUGAGAGGGUGACCGGCCACAUUGGGACUGAGAUACGGCCCAGACUCCUACGGGAGGCAGCAGUGGGGAAUAUUGCACAAUGGGCGGAAGCCUGAUGCAGCAACGCCGCGUGCGGGAUGACGGCCUUCGGGUUGUAAACCGCUUUCGCCUGUGACGAAGCGUGAGUGACGGUAAUGGGUAAAGAAGCACCGGCUAACUACGUG